UGAAACCGUGUACGUACAAGCAGUGGGAGCACGCUUAGGCGUGUGACUGCGUACCUUUUGUAUAAUGGGUCAGCGACUUAUAUUCUGUAGCAAGGUUAACCGAAUAGGGGAGCCGAAGGGAAACCGAGUCUUAACUGGGCGUUAAGUUGCAGGGUAUAGACCCGAAACCCGGUGAUCUAGCCAUGGGCAGGUUGAAGGUUGGGUAACACUAACUGGAGGACCGAACCGACUAAUGUUGAAAAAUUAGCGGAUGACUUGUGGCUGGGGGUGAAAGGCCAAUCAAACCGGGAGAUAGCUGGUUCUCCCCGAAAGCUAUUUAGGUAGCGCCUCGUGAAUUCAUCUCCGGGGGUAGAGCACUGUUUCGGCAAGGGGGUCAUCCCGACUUACCAACCCGAUGCAAACUG
rnacentral:rRNA from 1 species